UCUUCGUUGGUGAACCAGCGGAGGGAUCAUUACCGAGUUUACAACUCCCAAACCCAAUGUGAACAUACCUCUCGUUGCUUCGGCGGGAACGCCCCGGCUCUGCCCGGAACCAGGCGCCCGCCGGGGGACCUACAAACUCUUGUAUUCCUAGCGGAUCUCUGAGUGUGAUUUAAACAAAUCAAAUCAAAACUUUCAACAACGGAUCUCUUGGCUCUAGCAUCGAUGAAGAACGCAGC
rnacentral:misc_RNA from 1 species